CAUACACACACACACACAGAGAGAGAGAGAGAGAGAGAGAAUUUAUCUCUUGUCAUCUUAUCUGAGGAGGGUGGGAAAGGCCUCCUGGUGCACAAAGGUCCCUCUACCCUGUGUUCAUUUUCUUUAAACCAAAGAAUUCACUCAUUUAGAUUAAGAAAUUAGCCCAGUUAUAGUACUAACAAUCCCUGGGAUGUUUCCUCCACUUAGCUACUCUGUAGUGAUAUGCAAAAUAAUAGUUUGGGACUUCAAGGCCUGGAUUUGAUUCUCAACUCCAUCACUUCCUAAUGACAUGAUCUUGACAAGUUAUUAACAUCUCCAUAAAAUUUGCUUAUCUAUAAAAUGAGGAAAUAACAUUCUACUCAUAGUUAUGUGACAACUAAAAGAAAAAAAAAUACAUGUAAAAUUAGCCCAUAGUAAGCACUUAGUAAAUGCUAGCUUUUUAAAACAAUAAUAAUAAUGAUAGUAACAAUAUGUACUGAGAUAUACACUGAAAAGUGUGAGAUUCAACCCUACUUGCAAGCUGACAAGGGAGCCUGCCACAGUUUCAUGGAUGCUGGGAAAAGACACUAGACUAUUAAGUCAGACAAUGGGCUUUGUUAGAGAGCCAGUAGCAUGAGCACAGUUCCAUUCAUCCCCCAAAGUCCCACAAGGGUUGGAUCAGAGUUAAGGCACUCUGAGCCCAGGACACUCAAGUCUUAUAUAAUGGGCUGCAAGCAAACUUGCCCAACGUUUGUACUGAAGAGGGCCGGGCGUGGUGGCUCACGCCUUUAAUCCCAGCACUUUGGAAGGCACAGGUGGGCAGAUCACAAGGUCAGAAGAUCGAGACCAUCCUGGCUAACAUGGUGAAACCCCCAUCUCUACUAAAAGAAUACAAAAAAUUAGCCAGGCGUGGUGGCGGGCACCUGUAGUCCCAGCUACUCAGGAGGCUGAAGCAGAAGAAUGGCGUGAACCCGGGAGGCGAAGCUUGCAGUGAGCCAAGAUCACGCCACUGCACUCCAGCUUGGGCGACAGAGCAAGACACCAUUUCAAAAAAUAAUAAUAAAUAAAAAAAUAAAUAAAGAGAACCUAAACUAUCAUUAUAUUUAUGGACAGAUGAUUUUUACAAAUUUAUGUUACAGACGCUAGCUGUAAAUUGACAAGAAAAAAAUGUAUAAAACCUCCAUAUUCUUAGAUUUUACUUACAUAGUUCAACAUAAAUUGAAAAAAGUCUCAGUUGUUUUGGUGUUAAGAGACUUGUUUUCUAAUAAAAAUAUGGGGCCAACAAAAUUCAAAGGAGUACCUAAUGUAUGUCCAUAAUAUAUUAGAAAAUGUGAAUCUCUGUUAAAAGAAGGCUGGAUUUUACUAAAUCUUGGAUUUCCCCAACGCAAAAAUCUUGUCUUGAAGUAUUUGAAAUGAGGCCCACGUGACUGAAAAGCUCUCUUUGAAAUCAUGUAUUCUGUUUUGUUAUGUGGAGCAGAAAAAUGUUAAUGAAACAGUGUCCUUGUCAAAUAAUGUCCCUGACUCCAUGAAGCAGGUCAUGAAUUAUAGGCAGCUAUGCCGUUUGCCU
rnacentral:lncRNA from 1 species